rnacentral:rRNA from 1 species
AAAUUGAAGAGUUUGAUCAUGGCUCAGAUUGAACGCUGGCGGCAGGCCUAACACAUGCAAGUCGAACGGUAGCACAGAGAGCUUGCUCUCGGGUGACGAGUGGCGGACGGGUGAGUAAUGUCUGGGAAACUGCCUGAUGGAGGGGGAUAACUACUGGAAACGGUGGCUAAUACCGCAUAACGUCGCAAGACCAAAGAGGGGGACCUUCGGGCCUCUUGCCAUCAGAUGUGCCCAGAUGGGAUUAGCUUGUUGGUGAGGUAACGGCUCACCAAGGCGACGAUCCCUAGCUGGUCUGAGAGGAUGACCAGCCACACUGGAACUGAGACACGGUCCAGACUCCUACGGGAGGCAGCAGUGGGGAAUAUUGCACAAUGGGCGCAAGCCUGAUGCAGCCAUGCCGCGUGUAUGAAGAAGGCCUUCGGGUUGUAAAGUACUUUCAGCGGGGAGGAAGGUGU